rnacentral:tRNA from 1 species
GUCCAGGGAUGGGAAUCGAACCCACAGUGUUCCGCUUACUGGGCAAAGCCAUAUCCACUAGGCUACCCUGGA